UCCUGCUUGUACAGGCAGUCUGUUUAGAGUGCCCGGCAUUACCCGGUAGCAACUAAACAUAAGGGUUGCGUUCGUUGCGGGACUUAACCCAACACCUCACGGCACGAACUGACGACAGCCAUGCAGCACCUGUGGUGCACCCUCGAAGGCUUCCCGCCUUUCAGCGGGCGUGCAGCACCAUGUCAAGCCCUGGUAAGGUUCUUCGCGUUGCAUCGAAUUAAGCCACAUGCUCCUCCGCUUGUGCGGGCCCCCGUCAAUUUCUUUGAGUUUUAACCUUGCGGCCGUACUCCCCAGGCGGUACACUUAACGCGUUAGCUCCGGUACGGAAGGGGUCAAAUCCUCCCACACCAAGUGUACACCGUUUACAGUUGGGACUAC
rnacentral:misc_RNA from 1 species